rnacentral:tRNA from 1 species
UUAGCUCAGUUGGUAGAGCAACUGACUCUUAAUCAGUGGGUCGAGAGUUCGAGUCUCUCAG